rnacentral:rRNA from 1 species
GAUGAACGCUGGCGGCGUGCCUAAUACAUGCAAGUCGAGCGGAAGGACGAGAAACUUGCUUCUCUGAUGUUAGCGGCGGACGGGUGAGUAACACGUGGAUAACAUACCUAUAAGACUGGGAUAACUUAGGGAAACCGGAGCUAAUACCGGCUAAUCUUUUGAACCGCAUGGUGCAAAAGUGAAAGACGGUCUUGCUGUCACUUAUAGAUGGAUCCGCGCUGCAUUAGCUAGUUGGUAAGGUAACGGCUUACCAAGGCAACGAUGCAUAGCCGACCUGAGAGGGUGAUCGGCCACACUGGAACUGGGACACGGUCCAGACUCCUACGGGAGGCAGCAGUAGGGAAUCUUCCGCAAUGGGCGAAAGCCUGACGGAGCAACGCCGCGUGAGUGAUGAAGGUCUUCGGAUCGUAAAACUCUGUUAUUAGGGAAGAACAUAUGUGUAAGUAACUGUGCACAUCUUGACGGUACCUAAUCAGAAAGCCACGGCUAACUACGUG